ensembl:lncRNA
GCUUAAGAUUUAUUUUCUGAAAAUAUUUUGGAUGUUUGACACUUACACAGGACACAAACAGGGUGACCCAAUUUUUUCCAGUAUGUGAGUACAGUGUGUGUGUGUGUGUGUGUGUGUGUGUUAACGUGUCCUGUCACAAAAUGCGGUGAAAACUCCCACAUGACGUUAAUAGUGUGAUUAAGGUGUUUACAUGUCUGUAAUACACGUCGACAAUUCGACUAAAAUAGGAAUACUCCACAUGUCUUAAUUCCAUUUGUGUUUACUUCGAGUAUGAGGUCAUCAAUAAUCGCUGCUUACAUGAUAGUUUCUUAAUCAGAGUAUCGGCUUAAUCGGGUUAAUAUCGGCUUAUUGUUGUCCAUGUGAACAUAUUGAUUGUGUGUGUGUGUGUGUGUGUGUGGACCCCCGAAAGUAGCAGUGGCCACCCCCUGGCCACCGCAAAACUCUAGUUUAGUCACACCCCAGACACUUCAUACGUGAUGAAACGGCAGCAGGGUGUGACACUUCCUGAAUUCACUCUCACUUUUCUUACUUUUCUCUCGUUUUUUAAAGGGACAGAAACGCAAGGAGAUUCUUCCUUCUUUUUUUUUGUGGAAAAGAUGUGAAAAGAAAUGAAGCGUGCGAAGGCUUUUACACAAACAACUGACAUGCAGUCUCGCUGAAGAUAAUAAUUCUGAUGGCAUGGUUCACAGGUGCUGUUUUUAUGUCACGCGACGUGAGUGAAGCAGUGGAUAAACACUGGCCUCUAAAACACACACACACACACACACACACACACUUAGACAAACACAGCAGCUCAUUUUUUCUGUCCUACUCUUGCAUCGUCUACUUUAUACCAACAAGAGACUUUCACUCCUUUCACCAUCUGACACCCACAGCAACACACACACACACAUACACGCACACACUUCUCUGUGGCUGUAGAGAAACCACCAGUAAAUAUUUAAUCAUAGGCCAGCCUAAUCAGAUUCCCAUUUUAAAUGCCAACACACACAUGAAUGCACACACCCAUUUCUCAUCUCACUCAUAAAUUCAGGAGAUCAUUUAUGAACUAGCACUGCUUCCUGAAAAUUCAUCAGAAAUCUGUUGCGGGAUAUGACUAAGACUAAUCUAAAAAGAAUGAACCAGAAUUAAUCUACACAUGCUCAUCGAGCUGUGUCUCUUAUGUUAUAUACCAGUACACAUUUCUAUAAUACUGUAAGACACACACCACACACGCACGCACGCACGCACGCACGCACGCACGCACAUGCAAUCACACUGACCUUAAUAAAGAUAAAAAGCUAAACAAUAAUACUGGCAGUUCAGAGAUAAAAGCUAACUGACCUUUGCUGUCCGUUAUUGCAGGAAAGAUUUGCUCAGAAAUCAGAGCAGCUCUGAUCCUCUGCCAGCCUUCACAAGUCCAUAUCACUGCACACUCACUCCAUCUCCGUCAGCAUUCGCGUUCAAGCAGUGUCACAUCGGUUUCGCCAGGCUAGUGCGGGUUAAUGAGAAACUGUGUGUGUAUGCAGGCACAUAUUCACAUGUUGGCUUUACAGGCCACAGCAACAAUCUUCAAACAUUGCUGAUUUGUAUCGAUAUGGACAAAAUGCAAACAAAACCUUUUGACUUCUCCAGUAGCAAGAAUGAGACAAAUUCAGUUCAAUUUUCUUUGUCUAGCACUUUUAAUAAUGUCACAAAGUAACUUUAUUGAAAUAUGGAUGGAGAUUUAGAACCCUAACAAGGAAUCCAGAUACGACAGUGACUAUGUUUGAAUGCAUAUCAAUAUUUCGAUAUUAAUCUAAAUUUAGCAAUACUCUAAGUAGUAUUGAGUCAUGUAAACGCCACAGUCCGACUGCCUGAUUGAGAUUAAGACAAUAUUCUGCAACACGAAUAUAGAGCUUAAAUGGAAUUUGGGUAGGGUUAGGGGUUAGGGUUAGGGUUUGGGGUUAGGGUUUGGGUUAGGGUUUGAGGUUGGGGUUAGGGGUUAGGGUUAGGAUUAGGGUUAUGGGCUAGUGUUAGGGUUGGGGUUAGGGUUAGCGGUUAGGGUUAGGGGUUAAG